rnacentral:rRNA from 1 species
AAAAGAAACCAACCGGGAUUACCUCAGUAACGGCGAGUGAAGCGGUAAUAGCUCAAAUUUGAAAUCUGGCUCCUUUGGAGCCCGAGUUGUAAUUUGUAGAAGACGCUUUGGGUUGUGGGCUUGGCCUAAGUUCCUUGGAACAGGACGUCAUAGAGGGUGAGAAUCCCGUAUGUGGUCGAGACCCUACGCCUAUGUAAAGCUCUUUCGACGAGUCGAGUUGUUUGGGAAUGCAGCUCAAAAUGGGUGGUAAAUUUCAUCUAAAGCUAAAUAUUGGCCAGAGACCGAUAGCGCACAAGUAGAGUGAUCGAAAGAUGAAAAGCACUUUGGAAAGAGAGUUAAAUAGUACGUGAAAUUGUUGAAAGGGAAGCGCUUGCACCCAGACUUGGGCGUUGUUGAUCAUCCGAGGUUCUGCCUCGGUGCACUCGACAAUGUGCAGGCCAGCAUCGGUUUGACUGGCUGGACAAAGGUCCUAGGAACGUAACUCCUCGCGGGGAGUGUUAUAGCCUAGGGCGUCAUGCAGCCCAGUCGGACCGAGGACCGCGCCUUUUGGGCUAGGAUGCUGGCGUAAUGGGUGUAAGCGACCCGUCUUGAAACACGGACCAAGGAGUCUAACAUCUAUGCGAGUGUUUGGGCGUUAAACCCAUACGCGGAAUGAAAGUGAACGUAGGUGAGAACCCGUUUAGGGUGCAUCAUCGACCGAUCC